rnacentral:lncRNA from 1 species
UUUUUAAAAUUGGAUUCAGCUCAAGCUAUGAAGUACACUGCAGUAUAAAGAUUGAAAAAAUUGUAAGUGAUAAAAUGUAUCUCUUCUUAUUUUGUAGCCCUCUUUGAAUCCUGGUGGAAGCCAGUCCUCAGAUGUGGUACUUUUGAACCACUGGAAAGUGAGGAACUUUGAAGUGCAUCGUGGUGACAUUGUGUCAUUGGUUUUUAGAAAGCCUGAAGUUGUUUUUGCUGAGAGAGAUCCCGGCAGAGGACUAGGAAGUGAGCAGACACGCCUUUUCAAGACUGAAGUAAAAUUCAGCCAUUUUCCCUGUGAUGUGCCUUUUUUGUCCUUUUCUACUCCGCACUGGAAAAUAAUAAAGUGUGCUGUAGGAAACUAGGUAGCAAGUUAUCAGUUCCAACACAGAGAAGAUGUAUUGGAAAUGAAUCCUGUUUACCAACGAUUUGGGGCUGCAUUUGAGUCAUAUUCUUCUUAGGAAUUUUAUGGCAAUUUUGCAUAACCAUGUCUUGCUUUGGGAAUUCUAUGUUUUAUCUAUUUUUCAAAAGACUAUAAAAGAACCUCCUUUGGCAAAAGUGUGCACAUCUUGACAGCUUGUAAAAAGAUAGCUCCUGACUUCCAAUUUCAAAUAUGCAGACUCUAAUAUAGAUUACCCCUCUAGACUCCAUCCAUCUAUAUAGUUAGGGCACAUUUUAUGGGUGGGUGCUGAUAUGAACUUUAAAGACAUACAUCUUGAUUUAUGUAUGAAGAUUGGCAUGAACAACUAAGGUGAAAGUGUUUCAUGUUUUACUGAGUGGUGACAGGGUCCUCUGGAGAUAGUUCUCCCAGCACCCCUGGCCAUUAGCAACUAGAGCUAUUUAAUCUGUAUGAAAGGACAUACUAUCUUAUAUUACCUAGACAUGUAUAUCUUGUAAUCUGCCUAUGCCUGCCUUAUAAUCAUUCUUUGUAUUGGUUUCUCUGUUUAUACUACUAGUGCCAUGUUCAUAGAAGUUGUGGAAUAGUUUCUGCACAGAUAAUCCAGGUUUGCACAUUUGUUUUUAUAACAUAACAUCUCAAUGAUAGAUUAUGUAAUGUCAGUUUGUGGCCCUUAUUGGGUAAUGGCUGAAAGGCUUUCUUUCAUUUUUACGAU